rnacentral:lncRNA from 1 species
UGGGAGAAGGCUUUGGGUGGCCUCGCUGCUCUCUUCUGCCCCUGUCCCCUCAGGCACCCCUCUGUAGGGGCUGCGCUUCUUCAGCUGUUACUUUCAGGGUGCUCUGGCUACCCUCAGUUGAAAGGGCUUAUUCUUAAUGGGAGAGUUAAGGGUGCCUGGAUGGCUGUCAGAGGUAUUAAUUUGUGGAAAUCUGUGUCCAAAACAUCAGUUAGUAACUGAAAAACUGGGGCUGUUUUUUUGCCUUGGUCAUGGCUUCCAGGGCCCAGAAUGAACAGUAGAGAUCUGGUAGCCUCUCUUAAGGAGGAAAGCUGAGCAUAACUUGAUAUGGGUAUCUUGCUUUCUCCCCAAAAUGUCACAUGUUGUGCACAAGGAGUUGCUGACUACACAGGAUAAAGUGAAGUUCGAGUGCUUGCAGCAUAGAGAGGUUGACCUCAAAGACUCCUUUGGAUUCAAAGAAUUUGUGAUGGUCUUCUUAUAUGGCAGAAGGAAAGACAAGUGAGAUAUAGUUUGAGGAAAACCCAAAUUUCGUAACUGGGCUUCAACAAUCAGAUGCUGUAGUGUAACUCUCAUCAGAGAUGUCUUAGUACUUUAUACUGCAUUUAACAAAUAAAAGUGGGAUCCUUCACCUUGAAACA